GACCAUGUCAAUCACGUGUUUUGGUACACAUAAUAAAACUGGAGAUCUACAGGCAUGUUUGAUAAUUAUUGUUUGAUAUUAAACGUUGAUUCUCGAAAACUCAAGAUUAUAUAAUUAUUGGACCCUCCGUUAGGUUUGGCAAAUAUUUGAAACGAAAACCGUAGAAGCCAAAUCGUUAAACACACAAACAAAACGCGGGAAGGCCUCUAAACAAAAAUAAACCACUAAUGCAAAACGAAAACGAAGGAUAUCUGAGGGAGAUAGGCGGAAUGGAAACGUGAGAUGACGCGGAGCUACGAACACGGAAAUGGCGAUAUCGAGCGCUAUCAAUAAUGCACGUUAAUAUUGACUGGCAGCUAUCUAUUAUUGAGAAACCCACUAUAAUUGAAGAAGGAAGCCACGAUUAGGUACCAGGACUGGUCGAUAUAUCUAUAGUGCCAUUUUGUAAACCGUGUUUCAAUAACGUUUUUUGGAUAUUUUGAUUUAAGAAUUUGGGCGUGUGGUUCCGACCUAGAAUAGAACAAUUUAAUCACGCAUUGAACGCAAUAAGAUCUAUUG